GACGAACGCUGGCGGCGUGCUUAACACAUGCAAGUCGAGCGGUAAGGCCCUUUCGGGGGUACACGAGCGGCGAACGGGUGAGUAACACGUGGGUGACCUGCCCUCAGCUCUGGGAUAAGCCUGGGAAACCGGGUCUAAUACUGGAUAUGACUCCAUGACGCAUGUUGUGGGGUGGAAAGCCUUGUGCGGCUGAGGAUGGGCCCGCGGCCUAUCAGCUUGUUGGUGGGGUGAUGGCCUACCAAGGCGACGACGGGUAGCCGGCCUGAGAGGACGAUCAGCCACACUGGCACUGCGACACGGGCCAGACUCCUACGGGAGCAGCAGUAAGGAUAUUGCGCAAUGGGCGAAAGCCUGACGCAGCGACGCCGCGU
rnacentral:rRNA from 1 species